CCUGACUGAUGGCACCAGCAGCAUGUCACAGCCUAGCUGAAGAGACUGUCUCUCAGGAGAGGAUGCUGUACAGAACUUGCACUACAGAUGCAUAACAAUUUCAGAUGGUGAUGUCCCUGAUGGGUCAAACGGCCGUGAAGGAAAGGGGCACAGCGUGCAUGGUGGGUCACUGAGAUAUGACUAAUAUUAGUGUAGAAAGAUGGAAGAACCUGGAAGAGAGGACACACAAGAAUACCAGCCUUUUGGAAAAAGCCCUUCAUUGUCUCCAUCAUUAAUGUCUUGUGACAUGAGAGCAACUGAUGUGAGCAUGCUCUCAUGACUUUGGAGUACCACCAAGCACCCAGAGAGCAAGGGGGGUUGCUGUGGAAAUUUGCUAAAGAGGCACCAUCAACGUGAAAACACCAUCAUUCAUUUCCAGUCAAACGAAAACCAGUGCUGUCCAUGGCCCCUCAAGGGCAGGCAGGGG
rnacentral:lncRNA from 1 species